rnacentral:lncRNA from 1 species
CCAACCAAUGAGAAUUAAGUAAAUAAUAAUAAUAAUAUACAUAAAAGAUUAAUCCACCAAUUCAUGGGCUUUCACUAUUCCAAGAUUGGUCCAAUGAAUUGCAUUCCAGUAUUUGUCAACGUCUCGAACAUGAUGACUUAAAUUUGUAGCAACAAAGUCUUGGACAAAAGCAUUCAUCUUUGAUUUUAAUUGUCGUGCUUUGCUUCGAGUGAUUGGACCACUAGGAAAAACAACCCCUUGAGUGUCACCUCCUUGGCUCGUAUCAUUCUCCCCCUCUUCAACAAGAUUCGUCCUCGAAUUUGAACCCACAUCAAAUUCAAAAUGAGAAAGGUCAGAAACAUUGAAAGUAGCACUAACACUAUACUCACCAGGAAGAUCAAUGCGAUAAGCAUUGUCAUUUAUUUUCUCGAGUACUUGGAAUGGUCCAUCCCCUCGUGCAUCAAGUUUAUUCUUUCUCUUAGAAGGAAAUCAUUCCUUCCUCAUAUGUACCCAUACCCAAUCUCCAGGUUCAAGCAAGACUUGCUUUCGCCCUUUAUUAGCUCGAUGUGCAUUGGACUCAUUCUUUUUCUCAAUGGCUUUACGAGCCUUCUCAUGGAUCUUUUUCACUAAAUCAGCUUUCCUUUCACCAUCUAAAUUAGCAAUCUCAUUCAAAGGUAAAGGAAGCAAAUCUAAAACAGUAAGUGGAUUAAAGCCAUAUACAAUCUCAAAAGGAGUAAAACCUGUGGAAGAAUGAACAGAACGAUUAUAAGCAAACUCAACAUAGGGUAUCCAUUCUUCCCAAGAUUUAACAUUCUUACCUAUUAUGGCUCUAAGCAAAGAUCCCAUAACUCGAUUUACCACCUCAGUUUGACCAUCAGUUUGAGGGUGGCAUGUAGUAGAGUAAAGUAGUUUAGUACCUAACUUACCCCAUAACACAUUCCAAAAGUGACUAAGAAAUUUUGCAUCUCUAUCGGAAACGGUAGUCCUUGGGAUUCCAUGUAAUCUCACAACUUCAUGGAAAAAUAGAUCGGCAACAUGGGUUGCAUCAUCAGUCUUAUGGCAUGGAAUGGAAUGAGCCAUUUUAGAAAAUCGAUCCACAACCACAAAGAUGCUAUCUCGUCCACGCUUUGUCCUUGGUAAACCUAUUACAAAAUCCAUUGAAAUGUCAGUCCAAGGUGAACUAGGAACAGGAAGAGGAGUAUAUAGACCAUGAGGCAUCACAGUGGAUUUAGCUUGUUUACAAGUAAUGCAAGUAGAGCAAAUUUUUUGAACAAGUUUUCGCAUGUUAGGCCAAUAAAAAUGCUCAUGUAAACAUCAUAAGUCUUAGUGACUCCAAAAUAACCCAUAAGACUACCACUAUGAGCCUCUCGAACCAACAAUUCUCACAUUGAACACUUUGGUAAGUAUAGUCUAUUAUUUCGAAAAAUAUAGCCAUCAUGCUUAUAAAAUUUGUGAAAUGCACCAUGUUCACAUGCGUCAUAAAUGCUUGCAAAAUUAGAAUCAGUGGCAUAUAAAUCUUUGAGAUAGUCAAAACCUAAUAACUUAGUAUGCAAAGUACUAAGUAAAGUGUACCUCCUUGAUAGAGCAUCAGCCACAAUAUUAUCUUUACCUUUCUUAUAUCUUAUAACAUAAGGAAAAGAUUCAAUGAAUUCAACCCACCUCGCAUGUCGCUUGUUCAACUUACCUUGUCCCUUUAAGUGCUUAAGUGAUUCAUGGUCAGUGUGAAUCACAAACUCCUUUGGUAAAAGGUAAUGUUGCCAAACUUCUAAUGCCCUUACCAAGGCAUACAACUCUUUAUCAUAGGUCGAAUAGUUUAAAUGUGCUCCACCAAGUUUCUCACUAAAGUAGGCUAGUGGUUUACUAUCUUGCAUGAGGACGGCACCUAUACCUACACCAGAAGCAUCACAUUCAAUCUCAAAGGUCUUUUUAAAAUUAGGUAAAACAAGAAUAGGAGCAUUACACAAUUUAUCUUUAAGUUCAUUAAAUGCUAAUUCUUGCUUAUCUGUCCAAUGAAAAGAUACAUCCUUUUUAAUAAGUGCAGUCAAAGGCAAAGCAAUUGUGGAAAAGUUACGAACAAACCUGCGGUAGAAACUGACUAACCCAAGGAAAGACCUUACUUCAGAAACAGUUUUAGGGAUAGGCCAAUCUUUAAUUGCCUUUACCUUCUCCUCAUUCACAUGGAUUCCUGUAGAACUUAUCACAAAACCCAAAAAAACAAGCUUAUCCAUACAAAAGGUGCAUUUUUUAAUAUUAGCAAAGAGUCGUUCAUGCCUUAACACAUCCAAUACUAAUUUAACAUGCCCAACAUGAUCAUUCAAAUUUUUGCUAUAAAUCAGUAUGUCAUCAAAAUACACAACGACAAAUAUUCCUAAAAAAGGUCUAAGUAUGUGGUUUAUUAAUCUCAUGAAUGUGCUAGGAGCAUUAGUUAAGCCAAAUGGCAUAACUAACCACUCAUACAGGCCAUACUUAGUCUUAAAAGCAGUUUUCCAUUCAUCAUCUUGUUUCAUUCUUAUUUGAUGGUAACCACUUUUUAAGUCAAUUUUAGAGAAAGUGCAUGCACCAUUAAGCUCAUCCAACAUAUCAUCUAAUCGAAGAAUUGGAUAUUGAUACUUUACCGUGAUCUUGUUGACAGCACGACAAUCAACACACAUUCUCUAAGAACCAUAUUUUUUUGGGAUAAGAAGUAUAGGGACUGCACAAGGGCUUAGACUCUCACGAAUCAACCCUUUCUCUAAGAGAUCUUCAACUUGCCUUUGUAACUCUUUAGUUUCUUCAGGAUUUCUUCGAUAGACUGGUCUAUUCGGAAUACUCGAACCAGGCACAAAUUUAAUUUGAUGGUCAAUCCCUCGUAAAGGAGGUAAUCCCUUAGGCAUUUCAGAAGGAAUACAUCCUCAAAAUCCUGCAAAAGAUCAACAAAAUAACUAGGAAAAUGUGUAUUAGGGUUAGUCAAAAUAAAGUUUUCCCUAAACCUAAUAAUUACAAAUGUUUGUUUUGUACAAAGAGCAAAUUUGAUAUCUCGAAACCUAGCGAAUAAACUCACUUUCUCAUCUCGUGACUUGUGUGUGCAAUCACUCACCAAUGUUGGGCCUUUAAGUUGGCUUUUAACACUAAGGGCCUCUUUACUCUCAGCCUUUUUCAAUGAUUUUACCUCACUUCCCUUACCCAUCUCACUAGAAAGUUUAAGUUGAUCAUUGUAGACUUCUUGAGGAGGAAGUGGAGCCAAAGUAAACUUCUUUCCAAGGAACACAAAGGUAUAUUGGUUAAGGAAACCAUCAUGAUUUACUCGUCGAUCAAACUGCCAUGGCCGUCCAAGUAAUAUGUGCCCAGCUUGCAUUGGAACAACAUCACACAAAACUUUAUCAGAGUAUCUACCAAUGGAAAAUGAAACUAAGCAUUGUUUAGAUACUUUUACCUCCCCACUAUCAUUCAACCAUUGCAAGCGGUAUGGCCUUGGAUGCUUCACACAAGGUAGGCCAAGUUUCUCAACAAGGGAAGAACUUACCACAUUGGUGCAACUUCCGCUAUCGAUGAUCAAUGAACUAGGUUGUCCACUAAUCAAACAUCUCGUGUGGAAAAUGUUAUCUCUUUGUUCGCGCCCUUUCUCUUUAAACUGGAUAUUUAAAGCCCUUCGAGCAACACGUGCUUCUCACCAUACUCCAAGUAUUCUUCAUACUCAUCAUGAGUAUGCACAUCAUCAGCAUCUUCCAAAUGAGGCAUCUCAUCUUCGUUAUCAGACUCAAAAUCAACCUCGCCAUCUUCUCGAAUCACCAAUGACUUUUUAUUAGGGCAUUCUCGAGCAUAGCGACCCCUUCCUUGGCAUUUGAAGUAGGUAAUAUCUUUUGGCUGCUUAAUGGCACUAGGAGAAGUAGAAGAAGAAGAUAGAGCUCGAUUAGUAGAAGUAGAACCUUUAAGUGAAUUAGGCAUACCUCUAUAUUUGGAGUAAGUUCUAGGCUCAUUUGGCUUGAACUGUGCAUCUUUCCCAUUCCACAGUCUAUCAUCUUGUUUUUUCCAAUUUCCUCUCCAAGCAGGAUUAGAAACUGAACUAACACCCCUCGUUGUCCCUUUCUUUCGUAAUUUCUUUUCAAUGGUGAGUGCGGUUUGAAGUAUCUCUUCAACAUCCAUGGAGUGUUGUAAUUCAACUCGAUUUGCAAUCUCAGGCUUUAGGCCGGCAAGGAAUCUAGCUAUAGUCACCUCAGCCUCUUCAACAAGAUUGGCUCUAAUCUGAAUAGUCUCCAUCUCUUUGUAGUAGUCGUCCACAGAUCUAUCUCCUUGAACAAGAUGUUGGAGUCUUUGAUGGAGUUCUCGAUAAUAGUAUGGUGGAACAAACCAUUUUCGCAAGAUGCACUUCAUUUCAACCCAAGUAGUAACAGGUUGCUCUCUAUAAAGAAUCCUGCUUUUACAUAAUUGAUUCCACCAUGUUAGUGCAUAAUUAAUGAACUCAGCGACAGCGUAUGUUACCUUUUUCUCAUCAGAGUAAUUGUAACAAGCAAAGACUGCUUCCAUCUUUUCCUCCCAAUCAAGGUAAGCAUCAUGAUCAUUCUUCCCUAAGAAAGAAGGAAAUUUUGGUUUGGAGGUGUCAUUGUUUUGUUCCAACCUUUCUCUAGGUACAUACUCGAACUCAAAGUCAUCAUCAAAAACAUGGUCCUCCCUUCGUUUAAAAGUUCGAUCUUGCAAAUUUGAUCGGCUUAGAAAGGCUUCGUUCAACUUUUUGUAAUUAUCGGCAAUGUAUCUCUCUUGAGUUGUAAGUUUUGUAUCAAGAUACUCCCUUUGCUCUUGUAACAUCUGGAUCAUGCGAUGUUCGAAUUGAGUUUGCAACUUUUUCAUCUCUUUUUGUAACAACUUGACCAAAGGAUCGUUCUCUCUUUUUUGCUCAUCCUCUUCAUUUUUACUAGUUUGGGAUCUAGUGAGCGGCAUGGUAUCUGUGAAAGAUCAAACAAACAGGAACAAGAAAGAAAAAAUAAUAAUAACCUCACUCGUUAGCUCUCAAAAGAAUAACUCUCUGAAUGAUUCAAAACUUGUAAAUAUGUUUGGAAAGGUUACUAAUCAAGAUCAAAUAACGGAAGUGCAAACUUCAAAGAGACAAUGAAGACCCUAAUUGCUCUAAGAGGCCAAUAAACUUGACGAGGCAAUUUGUAAUGGAGGCUAUACGGAUGAAGGAAUUGUGCGUGCCUUUAAUAUCUGCUAACACAAGAAGAAACAAAGUGUUAGAAAGUGUAAGAGAAACAAAAAAAAAACGUAGACCUGCAACGAUCCCUAACUCUAGAGUCAAAAAAAAACUUUAAUAAGAAGAACACUUAAGAAAACUCUACCCAAUUAAAAAAAAAAUCAGAAAUGUUUGGUGUCUUAAGAUUUUCAAAAAUUGAAGCUUUAAUUAUACUUGACUCAAGAAAAGAAGAAGGAAAAGAAAUUUAAUUUUGGGAAAAAUAAAAUAAAAAUAAUAACAAUAAUAGGAAAAGAAGAAACCUACGUAUGAAAGGUAGGCAACUUUUUUUUGCGGUUUUUUUUACACUUUUUGCUUUUCUUUUAAAGAAUAAGAGGAGAAAAAAAAUUGACGAAACCGAUGAGAAGUGUUUUUGGUAUUUUGACUCGUUUCGGAUAUGAUUUUAGCUUCAAAAAUAACAUCGAAUGGCUUGAAACUGAUACCAACUGAUGCGGAAAUCCCAGAUCUAGACACAAGAGAAACACAAAUAGAAAUAAAACGAGAAUAAAUAAAAUUAGUUAAAUAAUAAAAGGAUAGAUUUGCCCUAUGAAACCCUUGGUUAACUUGUAACCAAAAACGCCAAUGAUUGAGCGGCUCCCUACGAAACCCCUAGAAGAAGAACCUCUAGAAACACCGAUGAACGGGAAAGAAAUUUGAAUAUUUGUAACUCCGAAAUACCCUCGAAAGUAACAAACUCCAAACUAAAUAGCAAGAGAAGAAUCACUCUACUCUAAAAAAUUUUCCUCACACAAAUUUGGAAGAAAACAAAUACUCUCUUUUUAUUCCCCCUCCAAUGUGUAGAAAGGAAGCCAAUUUAUAGGCAAAUUACAAGAGUAAUUGAAUCCUAAUAAAACUCUUUCAAGAGUAAUUGAAUCCUAAUAAAACUCUUUCAAGAGUAAUUGAAUCCUAAUAAAAACUCUUUAAAAUUAUCUAAGAAAAUAAAUAAAUAAUAACCUAACCAAUAAAAUUACUUAAUUCAUAAGUGAUGUGUCCCAACCAAUGAGAAUUAAGUAAAUAAUAAUAAGAUACAUAAAAGAUUAAUCCACCAAUUCAUGGGCUUUCACUAUUCUAAGAUUGGUCCAGUGAAUUGCAUUCCCGUAUUUGUCAACGUCACGAACAUGAUGACUUAAAUUUGUAGCAACAAAGUCUUGGACAAAAGCAUUCAUAUUUGAUUUUAAUUGUCGUGCUUUGCUUCGAGUGAUUGGACCACUAGGAAAAACAACCCCUUGAGUGUCACCUCCUUGGCUCGUAU